GAUGAAGGCCCUAGGGUUUGUAAAGCUCUUUUAGCAGGGAAGAUAAUGACGGUACCUGCAGAAAAAGCCCCGGCUAACUUCGUGCCAGCAGCCGCGGUAAUACGAAGGGGGCUAGCGUUGCUCGGAAUUACUGGGCGUAAAGCGCACGUAGGCGGCUUCUUAAGUCGAUGGUGAAAUCCUGGAGCUCAACUCCAGAACUGCCUUCGAUACUGGGGAGCUAGAGUCCGGGAGAGGUGAGUGGAACUGCGAGUGUAGAGGUGAAAUUCGUAGAUCUUCGCAAGAACACCAGUGGCGAAGGCGGUCACUGGCCCGGUACUGACGCUGAGGUGCGAAAGCGUGGGGAGCCAACAGGAUUAGAUACCCUGGUAGUCCUAGCUGU
rnacentral:rRNA from 1 species